GGGGUAGUAAUGGUUUCGACAGGGAUCUUGCAGCUGUAGAAGCUAUCCGUAGCCAAACGUCAGAUUGCAAAUUUUUAAACUAAACGCUGAUAAUAGAUUAGCAGCAGCUGCCUAAGUGCAGCUUGUCCUCUUAUCUGCACCCGCGCAGAUAAGUAAGGGCAUCGACUCCGCGGGAAACGACAUGGUCAAAGCUUUGAGGCCAUGGGCGUAUCAUGAAGCUACCGGCUUAAAACGAUUGUCAGUUUUUGCUUAAGUCCGGGAAUCCUUAAAAACUGACUAUGAUAGUAGAAGGACAGGGAAUAGGUUUUUGGACACGGGUUCGACUCCCGUCUACUCCAUCA
rnacentral:tmRNA from 1 species